rnacentral:rRNA from 1 species
AGCAGCCGCGGUAAUUCCAGCUCCAAUAGCGUAUAUUAAAGUUGUUGCAGUUAAAAAGCUCGUAGUUGAACUUCGGGGUUCACCCAUUGGUCAGGCUUAACUGUCUGCACUGGUGAGAUGAAUCUCUACCUUCUGAGGAACUUUCAUGCCAUUUAUUUGGUGUGAUGGGAAAUCAGGACUGUUACUUUGAAAAAAUUAGAGUGUUUAAAGCAGGCUAACGUCUGAAUACAUUAGCAUGGAAUAAUGAAAUAGGACGGACUGGUUCUAUUUUGUUGGUUUCUAGGAUCACCGUAAUGAUUAAUAGGGAUAGUUGGGGGCAUUAGUAUUCAAUUGUCAGAGGUGAAAUUCUUGGAUUUAUUGAAGACUAACUACUGCGAAAGCAUUUGCCAAGGAUGUUUUCAUUAAUCAAGAACGAAAGUUAGGGGAUCGAAGACGAUCAGAUACCGUCGUAGUCUUAACCAUAAACUAUGCCGACUAGGGAUCGGAUGAUGUCGUAUUUUUUAAUGACUCU